rnacentral:tRNA from 1 species
GCGGAUGUGGCGGAAUUGGUAGACGCGCUAGUUUCAGGGACUAGUGUUACUUGUAACAUGGAGGUUCGAGUCCUCUCAUCCGCACCA